UGUGCUGUUAUAGAAUUUGAUAUUCCUCUUCACAAAUGUGAUGAUUUCUUCAUUACAUGUGAAUGUCAUUUCAAAAGUGAUAACGGUGGCCGGAAAGUUCAGUUCAGAAGUAGCACCAUCCAUUUGGAGGAAACAAAGUCAAUGAGGGCUUAUGCAAGUUCAAAGCAGAAGCAAGAGGAUUUAACAAGGGGAAAUUAAAGGUGAAUGGAUGUGGUCUACAACUACGGUAUGCUGAAUGGAUGCCGGGGAAACGGAUGCGUAACAGACUCCAAAACAAAAUUUCCGUAGAGUGUGGAUCAACCAAGCGGAGAAGCAGGGAAGACUACUGCUCUAAUCAAACUGAUAUCAUUGGAGAUGGCAUGUUUGAUUAUGUGGAAGAGGAACCUCACCCAAAAAGAUUAAAGCAAGCAAUUUUGCUUUGUGAAUGAUUACCUCUUCUAAUGUUUAAAGGGAUCGACUCUGUUGCUCUUAUGAUUAUUUCAAUCUCUUGUCCGGAAAGUGACCAUAGCAUGUCCUGUUUUUCUACUUUUGCCAUUAUGGCAAGCAACUGGACUAUGAGUAUGACUCUAUCUUUCACUGUUUGUUGUCGUCGUAUUCUUUUGUUGUGCUCAAUAGCACUCAUUGCCUUUGAUGGAAAAUAAAAGUGAAACCUUAGUAGACGCCAAUCAAUAUAUAUUUUGUUGAAGACUAA